AUUGAACACUGGCGGCAGGCUUAACACAUGCAAGUCGAGCGAGGGGAGGUAGCUUGCUACCGGACCUAGCGGCGGACGGGUGAGUAAUGCUUAGGAAUCUGCCUAUUAGUGGGGGACAACAUCUCGAAAGGGAUGCUAAUACCGCAUACGUCCUACGGGAGAAAGCAGGGGAUCUUCGGACCUUGCGCUAAUAGAUGAGCCUAAGUCGGAUUAGCUAGUUGGUGGGGUAAAGGCAUACCAAGGCGACGAUCUGUAGCGGGUCUGAGCGGUUGCGCCGCUACACUGGGACUGAUACACGGCCCAGACGCCUACGGGAGGCAGCAGUGGGGAAUAUUGGACAAUGGGGGGAACCCUGAUCCAGCCAUGCCGCGUGUGUGAAGAAGGCCUUAUGGUUGUAAAGCACUUUAAGCGAGGAGGAGGCUACUUUAGUUAAUACCUAGAGAUAGUGGACGUUACUCGCAGAAUAAGCACCGGCUAACUCUGUGCCAGCCGCCGCAGUAA
rnacentral:rRNA from 1 species